rnacentral:rRNA from 1 species
AACGAACGCUGGCGGCAUGCCUAAUACAUGCAAGUCGAACGGACGUAGCAAUACGUGAGUGGCGGACGGGUGAGUAACACGUGGGAACCUGCCCAGCGGUGGGGAACAACCGAGGGAAACUUCGGCUAAUACCGCAUACGCCCUUACGGGGAAAGAUUUAUCGCCGUUGGAGGGGCCCGCGUCCGAUUAGCUAGUUGGUGAGGUAACGGCUCACCAAGGCGACGAUCGGUAACUGGUCUGAGAGGACGACCAGUCACACUGGGACUGAGACACGGCCCAGACUCCUACGGGAGGCAGCAGUAGGGAAUAUUGGACAAUGGGGGAAACCCUGAUCCAGCAAUGCCGCGUGAGUGAUGAAGGCCUUAGGGUUGUAAAGCUCUUUCGCCCACGACGAUGAUGACGGUAGUGGGAGAAGAAGCCCCGGCUAACUUCGUGCCAGCCGCCGCAGUAA